UGGGGAAUAUUGCACAAUGGGGGAAACCCUGAUGCAGCGACGCCGCGUGAGUGAAGAAGGUCUUCGGAUCGUAAAACUCUGUCCUUGGUGACGAAAGAAAUGACGGUAACCAAGGAGGAAGCCCCGGCUAACUACGUGCCAGCAGCCGCGGUAAUACGUAGGGGGCGAGCGUUGUCCGGAUUUACUGGGCGUAAAGGGUGAGUAGGCGGUCAUAUAAGUCAGGUGUAAAAGGCUAAGGCUUAACCAUAGUUAGCACUUGAAACUGUAUGACUUGAGUGCAGGAGAGGUAAGCGGAAUUCCUAGUGUAGCGGUGAAAUGCGUAGAUAUUAGGAGGAACACCGGUGGCGAAGGCGGCUUACUGGACUGUAACUGACGCUGAGUCACGAAAGCGUGGGUAGCAAACAGG
rnacentral:rRNA from 2 species